GACGAACGCUGGCGGCGUGCUUAACACAUGCAAGUCGAACGGAAAGGCCCUGCUUUUGUGGGGUGCCCGAGUGGCGAACGGGUGAGUAACACGUGAGUAACCUGCCCUUGACUUUGGGAUAACUUCAGGAAACUGGGGCUAAUAUCGGACAGGAGCUCCCGUUGCAUGGUGGGGGUUGGAAAGUCUCGGCGGUUGGGGAUGGACUCGCGGCUGAUCAGCUUGCUGGUGGGGUAGUGGCGUACCAAGGCAUGGACGGGUAGCCGGCCUGGGAGGGUGACCGGCCACAGUGGCACAGGGGUACGGCCCAGACGGCUACGGGGGGCAGCAGUGGAAGAUAUUGCACGAUGGGCGGAGGCGUGGUACAGCAACGCCGCGUGCGAGAUGACGUCCGUCGGGUUGGAAACCGCUUUCGCCUAUGACGAGGCGUGAGUGACGGUAAUAAAGAAAGAGGCACCGGCUAACUACGU
rnacentral:rRNA from 1 species